GCCUCUUUAGCUCAGUGGUAGAGCACUAGUCUCGUAAACUAGGGGUCGACAGUUCAAUUCUGCCAAGAGGCA
rnacentral:tRNA from 1 species